rnacentral:rRNA from 1 species
AGAGUUUGAUCCUGGCUCAGGAUGAACGCUAGCGGCAGGCUUAACACAUGCAAGUCGAGGGGCAGCGGGGAGGAAGCUUGCUUUCUCCGCCGGCGACCGGCGCACGGGUGAGUAACACGUAUGCAACCUGCCCCUGUCAGGGGGACAACCCGCCGAAAGGCGGGCUAAACCCGCGUACAUGCCACCGGGGCAUCCCGGAGGCAGGAAAGGCUUCGGCCGGACAGGGAUGGGCAUGCGGCGCAUUAGGCAGUAGGCGGGGUAACGGCCCACCUAACCGACGAUGCGUAGGGGUUCUGAGAGGAAGGUCCCCCACACUGGUACUGAGACACGGACCAGACUCCUACGGGAGGCAGCAGUGAGGAAUAUUGGUCAAUGGUCGGGAGACUGAACCAGCCAAGCCGCGUGAGGGAGGAAGGUACAGAGUAUCGUAAACCUCUUUUGUCAGGGAACAAAGGCGGGGACGUGUCCCCGGAUGAGUGUACCUGAAGAAAAAGCAUCGGCUAACUCCGUGCCAGCAGCCGCGGUAAUACGGAGGAUGCGAGCGUUAUCCGGAUUUAUUGGGUUUAAAGGGUGCGCAGGCGGUCUGUUAAGUCAGCGGUCAAAGCCCGGGGCUCAACCCCGGCCCGCCGUUGAAACUGGCAGUCUCGAGUUGGAGAGAAGUAUGCGGAAUGCGCGGUGUAGCGGUGAAAUGCAUAGAUAUCGCGCAGAACUCCGAUUGCGAAGGCAGCAUGCCGGCUCCACACUGACGCUGAGGCACGAAAGCGUGGGUAUCGAACAGGAUUAGAUACCCUGGUAGUCCACGCAGUAAACGAUGAAUGCUGGCUGUCCGGGGGGAUUGACCCCUGGGUGGCGAAGCGAAAGCGAUAAGCAUUCCACCUGGGGAGUACGCCGGCAACGGUGAAACUCAAAGGAAUUGACGGGGGCCCGCACAAGCGGAGGAACAUGUGGUUUAAUUCGAUGAUACGCGAGGAACCUUACCCGGGCUCAAACGGGGAGUGACUCAGGCAGAGACGCCUGUUUCCCACGGGACACUCCCCGAGGUGCUGCAUGGUUGUCGUCAGCUCGUGCCGUGAGGUGUCGGCUUAAGUGCCAUAACGAGCGCAACCCCCGCGUGCAGUUGCUAACAGAUAACGCUGAGGACUCUGCACGGACUGCCGGCGCAAGCCGCGAGGAAGGCGGGGAUGACGUCAAAUCAGCACGGCCCUUACGUCCGGGGCGACACACGUGUUACAAUGGGUGGUACAGCGGGAAGCCAGGCGGCGACGCCGAGCGGAACCCGAAAUCCACUCUCAGUUCGGAUCGGAGUCUGCAACCCGACUCCGUGAAGCUGGAUUCGCUAGUAAUCGCGCAUCAGCCAUGGCGCGGUGAAUA